rnacentral:tRNA from 1 species
CGUAGCUCAGCUGGAUAGAGCGUCCGCCUCCUAAGCGGAAGGUCGUGGGUUCGAAUCCCGCCG